CCUACGGGAGGCAGCAGUGAGGAAUAUUGGUCAAUGGUCGGGAGACUGAACCAGCCAAGCCGCGUGAGGGAUGAAGGUACAGAGUAUCGUAAACCUCUUUUGUCAGGGAACAAAGGCGGGGACGUGUCCCCGGAUGAGUGUACCUGAAGAAAAAGCAUCGGCUAACUCCGUGCCAGCAGCCGCGGUAAUACGGAGGAUGCGAGCGUUAUCCGGAUUUAUUGGGUUUAAAGGGUGCGCAGGCGGUCUGUUAAGUAAGCGGUCAAACCCCGGGGCUCAACUCCGUCCCGCCGUUGAAACUGGCAGUCUCGAGUUGGAGAGAAGUAUGCGGAAUGCGCGGUGUAGCGGUGAAAUGCAGAGAUAUCGCGCAGAACUCCGAUUGCGAAGGCAGCAUGCCGGCUCCACACUGACGCUGAGGCACGAAAGCGUGGGUAUCGAACAGGAUUAGAUACCCCUGUAGUC
rnacentral:rRNA from 1 species